UCUAAGAGGGGUCAAAGUGUAUGAGAAAUAUCUCAUUUUUACUUCCAUCUCAGUGCAAUGAAAUUCACCUUCUAAAAGACCGUCAACUUUUUAUGAUAAUUUGGUGCAUCAUUUAAAAGAGAAGCAAUCGAUCUCAUUCUCUUACUUUAUCUUUCUUUUUCAUCCUGGCCAACUACAGUCGACUCAACCCCCGCCCCCCAACGUAUUCAAACGUUUAGGUCACCAAAAGGACAAAGGCUUGAAAGGGACACACCAGGAUCUCGUGAUGAAGUGUGGCCACUAGUGCCAAUGUUGUCAUGGCACACCUUUUAAGUGGAAGAGUUUUUUUUUCUCUCUCUCUCUCUCUCGCCUAAUAAUACGGCGAACUAAAAUUACUUUUUUAGCCUACAUUUCCACUUUAGCAUGUUCCUUUGUAACAAGUAAUUUUCUAAUAGCAAUUUACCGCUGAAGCCUGAAUUUUGUUAUCGUAAUACUCUUAGUUCUCCUUGGCUACUAACCAUUUUCUAUUUAAGUCUCCCCAUACGGUCAGUAGAGUAACUAGUUCAAUAGUUUCAUCUGUGCCUGACUGUCACCACUGAUUUGCGCUUCGUGAAAAGAUGGUCCCGAUUCUGUGAAGUAUUUAAUUACAAGCAUCUGAUUUUCAUAUGGUGUACUUGAAAGUGCAUUUCGAAAAUGUAUAUCAAUUGCCGUUUUUUAAUACGCACCGAGAGCUUUCUUUGUUUCUCCUGGGACUUGACCGAGGUAAGGGAGGGUGCAAUGUUCGUUUUCCCUUCAUUCCAUUCUUGGCAAAUUGGCAAUUUCAAAAACACCUUUUCUUAAACCCUCGGGGAAAGUCCGAGGCGGAAAAUCUGUGAACAAUGUUCAGUUCUUUUGAUAAAUUUAUCAUUUUAUUUAGUUGAUUAAUCUAUAAUCCUCUUGGUAUAUAGGUCUAAUCAAUUUUCCCACAUGAUGGAAGAAGCCUCGUUCAAUCUGCACUCCUUUGUAUUAGUCAUCUUGAACUCCAGUUGUGUCACGUUCACCUGUCAACUGGCCUUUCUUUGUCUUGUUUGUUCACGUUUUUUAUUUGCUCACGUUUUCCCGUUGUGUCCUUUGUUCGGCCUACUUGGGCAUUCUAUGUUAGUUCUUAGCAGUCCUUUUGACCCCUCGAGAGCUUUUUUAACAUUCCGAACGGCUGUUUGUGUUCUUCUGGCUGGUUUAGAUUUCCAAUGGCUGUUUAUUUAGUUCUUCGCAUGCCUAUGGUUACUUGCUGUUUUAUUCCAUUUUGGUUACCUUGGUUUUGGUUUUCAUUGACUGGUCUAAGUCACUGAAACCAAUUUAACACUAUUGAAAACAUCAUCUCCAAGGAAAUCAGAUACAGAGUCCCAGAAAUCCUCACUCGAAACAGAGACAUAAGGCAUUGACAGUGUCUUUCCUUGUUCUUAAAACGGCCAAGAUGCUGCAUCCAUCACACAGAAUCAUUACUUUAGUGUCAAAGCAACUAACAAGUGCGGCACAAACACUGGGUUUGACUUCGCACUCUUACCUGAAAUUUAUGAGGACAGCAUUCAAGCACGUUCAGUGUUCAUACUCCCUCAGAGAGGAGCCUGCUGCCUUCAUGCGUGACAGGGGUCAGAACCUAUUCAUAAUCCAAAAAGGUAGGUUCAAUAGCAGACGCAAUUAUAUGUUUACUGGCAGCCACCUACAUUGAAUAUCCCGGAUACUGGGCAUCUUUCGCGGGAUCCCUACUGGGGGUCGUCUUGGCUGUUGUGCUGAUUAACGGAGCUAAAGAGAGGAAGACACGGAAUUUGAAGUUAUGGGUUUUAAUUGCAACUUGUCUGCUGGUGAUCGGGGGUAUUACUAGUAUUGCCAUAUCAGUGGUAUCGGGAGUCUAUGCUCUCGUAAUACUCGACGUCUUUAUCUGUCUGCUCCAAAUGUACUACAUAGUAGUGGUGAGGUCAUACGUCAUACAGCUUCAAAGGGAGGAUAAUGCAGCCAUCAGGCAGUCAAAUACUCAACAACUAUAUGUACUAUACUUGUAAAAAAAAAAAAAAAAAAAAAAGUAAGCUUCGUGGACAAGCACAUGGCCUCAAUUUCUUCAGAGCAACCUCCUACACACCGAGAACAGGAAAUACUCAAUACGAAAACUCCAGAGUGUAAGUCCAUACGUCUGGCUGCUGCUGACUACCAUUUCAAUCAGUCUCGCAAAGAUCACAAUAGGAGUUCUGCUGAAUAUUUACCACCUUCCUCUUUUUUCCCAAUUUUGUAAUAGUUUGUAGGCUCUCUUGCUUAUAAUGACUUAGAUUCUCUAUGAUUUAUUUGAAUCAAGACUUCAGGUGUUUAACUUCAGUGGCUUAGAGAAUUACGAUAAAUAAUAUGCAUAUGUCAAUUCAUAAAUUUUGUUUAAUUUUUAUAAAAUAAAUAUUAAAAAAUA